CUACGGGUGGCAGCAGUGGGGAAUAUUGGACAAUGGGCGAAAGCCUGAUCCAGCCAUGCCGCGUGGAUGAAGAAGGCCCUAGGGUUGUAAAGUCCUUUCGGUGGUGAAGAUAAUGACGGUAACCACAGAAGAAGCCCCGGCUAAUUUCGUGCCAGCAGCCGCGGUAAUACGAAAGGGGCUAGCGUUGUUCGGAAUUACUGGGCGUAAAGCGCACGUAGGCGGCCUUGUAAGUUGGGGGUGAAAUCCCGGAGCUCAACUCCGGAACUGCCUUCAAAACUACAAAGCUAGAGGAUGUGAGAGGAUAGUGGAAUUCCGAGUGUAGAGGUGAAAUUCGUAGAUAUUCGGAAGAACACCGGUGGCGAAGGCGACUGUCUGGCACAUUUCUGACGCUGAGGUGCGAAAGCGUGGGGAGCAAACAGGAUUAGAUACCCGUGUAGUC
rnacentral:rRNA from 1 species